CUUGCAUAAGUUUAUAUAUAUGUUGAAGAACGUAGUGUUAGUAGGCAUUUUCAUGGUACUGCACAUGUUUGGUAUAUUGAGAUCAGGCUUUAGAGUCGUGUCAUAGAAUACAACUCAUAGUAAGUAGGCUGUGCUAAACAUGGUGAGUAAACAAGAUAAACAUUCAGGCUGGGUGAACAGACAGUGACUAUAUCCUAGGCACAGAAAUAACAAGUAGCACGAU